GAUGAACGCUGGCGGCGUGCCUAAUACAUGCAAGUCGAGCGAACAGAUGAGGAGCUUGCUCCUCUGACGUUAGCGGCGGACGGGUGAGUAACACGUGGAUAACCUACCUAUAAGACUGGGAUAACUUCGGGAAACCGGAGCUAAUACCGGAUAAUAUAUUGAACCGCAUGGUUCAAUAGUGAAAGACGGUUUUGCUGUCACUUAUAGAUGGAUCCGCGCCGCAUUAGCUAGUUGGUAAGGUAACGGCUUACCAAGGCGACGAUGCGUAGCCGACCUGAGAGGGUGAUCGGCCACACUGGAACUGAGACACGGUCCAGACUCCUACGGGAGGCAGCAGUAGGGAAUCUUCCGCAAAGGGCGAAAGCCUGACGGAGCAACGCCGCGUGAGUGAUGAAGGUCUUCGGAUCGUAAAACUCUGUUAUUAGGGAAGAACAAAUGUGUAAGUAACUAUGCACAUCUUGACGGUACCUAAUCAGAAAGCCACGGCUAACUACGUG
rnacentral:rRNA from 1 species